UUGACGAAUUAAUUGAAUAAGGAUUUUUUUUUAAGAAUUUGAAGUAUGAUAAAAAUGUAAUGUCUCCGAAGAAGCACGUGCGUUUAAAUAUCGUAAUUUACUUGACAAGUUAUGGAAAGGUGACUUAAUUAGAGAAAAAAACUGCAGUCGAGGACAGCUUUCUCGAGGCGACUUCAUUGCAGGGAAACUCUGCGGCUCUUAAUAUGAUAGUUUCUAGGAAAAAGUGCUUCGACGUGACCGAAACGACAUUCUUUCGUUCGAUGGAAGUAGCAUCUUAAGGUUAGUUUCCUUUUUACAAGAAUCGUGAAUUCUUCUUAUCGUUAAACGUUUUAUCGAUAUUAAUUCCAAGAUUGGAAAUUUGAUAAAAUUGGUAUCUAAAAGAUACAUGAUUGUUUAAAGAUUUCUCGAUACUAUUGAAUAGAAUGAAAUUUUUAUCGAAUUUUUAUUUCUAAACGAUUCUCGAAUUAAUUUAGAUAUUUUAAAAAGAUACUUAUAUGUUUAAUAUGUCAAAGAUAUCUAUUUUAGGAAACCAUUUUUUAAAGAAUUUUUCACAAAUGAUAGAUCUUUUUCUUUUUUUUUAAACGAAAACGGUAUUUUUUAUACGAAUUUACGAAAAAUACAAAACACGUUUGAAACUGAAAUUCCAUUAGUAAAACUUUUCAGAACAGCGAGAACGGAAUAUUGAUAAAUGUCGGUAACAACGAAGAUACAAAACAAUUUCCCUUUUUCACUGGAAUAAACGUGUCUAUCAUUUAAUUACAAGAUUUUUACCAACCAAAAUGACAAAUUGUUCAAAAUAUUCUAGAAAGAAAAUUCGAUAACAUUUAUUCGUAAAAUUAUUCAAAUAUAUACACACUCGCUACAUAAUCCUAACACGUCGAUUUACCCUUCGAUCCCAAAAUUCCAGGAACUCGCUCAAAGACAAAGCACGUAAGAGUAUGUAAAUCCCGCGAAGUAGAUUACUAGCUCAGAGGGGCACGGUUUUCCAUCGGGGGAGGCUCUCUCAUCCAACGGAGAAAGACAGAAAGAAAGGUAGCAAGAGAGGGAGUCAAUUUCAUCGGGCACGGAAACUUUAAUUUCAAUCGAACUUGCCGACAGAAUAAUAAUAAUACUAAAGCCAGUAGUAGGUACCCUCGUAACCCAACAAACAGAGAGGAGGAGGAAGAGGAGGAGAAGGCGGAAGAGGAGAAGGAGGAGGAACCUAUUAAGAAUCAACUUCACCAACGAGACUUAGAAAUCGUUAACGCAUCGGAAUGCCAGUAAACUGUAUCCCAUCCCUCGCUAGGGGGUGCGGACUCGAAUCGAAGGAAAGAAAGGGAGGAUUAUUUAAAAAACUGAUACGUGGCUCGAGAACAAAGAGAAGAGAGAAUGCAAAUUGCACGCUUACCUGAAGAAUAUGGGUACCCUGAUGUACAUCGAAAUGGUCCAUAGCAGCGGAUGCCGAUGACCUAACUCGAUUCGCACCUGGAAUCGGAAAACGUGGCGCGUUAUUGAAGGCGAUGAUACACGCGUCCAUCAUCCAUUUGAAUGGGCUCGGUUCAACGCGAUAUUUAACAUUCUGUUUUUUCAUCGUAGUUAAGUUUAGACGCUUCCGCAAAGAAUAUGACAGGUCCAUAGUUAUCGCGUUAGCUUAUACGCGCGUGUUAAAAAGAUAGAUUUGUAUUCGCCGGAUGGCGUCAAAGUUGCAUAUUGCCGUGCAUAUCGCGAACGAUGAAUAGUAAUGAACAAACGGAACUCGAUAAAUCAACAUUCCGCGGUGGUUUCUCUCGAUCACCCAUUUCUGACACAAAUUUCAUUAAAAGAAGGAAAUCACGUCAAUCUAAUACACAACAAUUAGCUCAUCGUUUUCAAAACAUUCCUCUCCACGAGAAAUUUUAUUAUUAAUCUCAAUUAACUGAAAUACGAAUACGAAAGCAUUUAAAUCUUUAUAACGAUUUUACAAAAUUGCCUGAAACUUCUCCAGAGUUGCAAAACUAAUUCUGUCAUUUUUUUUCAAGAUUUCCAAAAAAAUCUUUAGAGAUAUACGCAGAGAAAAAUCUUUCCAACAUCCUUAGUUUUUUAAAAGUCUUCUUAUAAGUCUCUAUUAAUUACCUGAGUAUCUAUUAAUCUACUAAGUAUCUAUUAAUUGCCUGAAACUUCUCCAUAGAGUUGCAAAACUAAUAUUCUGUCAUUUUUUUUCAAGAUUUCCAAAAAAACCUUUAGAGAUAUACGCAGAGAAAAAUCUUUCCAACAUCCUUAGUUUUUUAAAAGAUUCUGCAAUUUGUAGUACAAUUUAAAAUGCUCAAUUAGCAAGGUAAAAUUUUAUUCGAAACGUCUUCUUAUAAGUCUCCAUUAAUUAGCUCUUUAACUAACCGAAAUCUGUUCCCAUCUGAUCCCCCUCCGGACAAUUCCUACUCGAAGGGCGAGCAAAGAGUUAAUAAAGACGUUUGUCCAUCCUCCAUUGAUUGACGUUCACCCGAUCGUGGCCUACCUCCAGUUUAUUCUGACCAUUGUGACUCAUUCCCCAACUCUUCAACCCCCCCUAAAGAUAGGCUGCUACUAACCAUGCCACCGGUGUGACCCCUUCGCGUCUUCUUCUUCUCUCCCCCUCGUUUAACAAACAAGACGUUCCCGCUCCUUUGCCCGUAAUAAUAAACCAACCCACACCCUCUCUUCGGGGACGUCGUAAUGAAAGACUUAGAAGACUCGAUCAAACUCGGCGCGAACCGCUUAAUCUGCUAAGCCCCACGGACCAGGAACGAAGUCGAAGUGGCCGGCUAACUGGCCGGAUUGAUCAGCCUCUGGCUUUCGCCAUUCGGUCAACAAGUCCGUUCCGAUAUCUCGGACCCGGAUCCCCGAAUAAUCCGGCCGGACUUUCGCCUGUGUGCACGACGAAAGCGGUUUCUUUCACGACCCAAUGUUCGUUUCGUUUCGUUUCGUUUCGUCUCGCGGCGACGAUCCGUGAAUACCGAUCGAACUUUUACCGAUCGAGGAUUACCGAUCGAGUUUGCACGAAAACGUGGAAUUGUUGGUUUUCGAGAAAGGAAAUUGUGAAUUGCUCGACGAGAAGUGGAGAAUGGAUGGAUUGUCGCGUAUCGAGAAUUGGUAAAUUUUAUUCAGAUAAAGAAUUUAAGUGUAUCUUCAACGUGGUUUUGGAUUGGAUUAGGUUGGAAGAAAGAAUUAACCUCAAAUUCUUGAUCUCUUUAUGAAUUGUUUGAUAAAAAUGGAGGAAUGGAUCGGAAUUAGUAGUUUUAUCGAGAUAAGAAAGAGUUUUUAGUACAAUUUCACACGAGUUAUAUUAAUUAGAAAUGAAUGAAAGAAGGAAAGAAUCGUCUCUGAAGAAUUCUACAAUGAAUUAAAUUUCCGAAUGGAAGUAUCUGGCCAUCACAAUAUUUUGAUAAGUAUCCAAGGGAAAAUUUUCCUCGAUUGGCCAGCAGAAUGGCUCGCAGAUAUUUCCUUGGGGAUGAUGGAAAAAUAUCCACGUGCGAUCAAUUUAGCGAAGAUCAACUUUGGUAAUGCGUUAUUUUUUCGCGACGGCGAGUGUUGAACGAGCAGCGCGCGGAUCGGAAAUUUGUUAUUUCACGAAAAAAAUAAUUCCUCCAAGAGACGAAGAAUAAAGGGGAAAAAAAAAAAAAAAAGGGAAAUAAUUGUACCAAUCUUUCGAAUGGAGAUUUUUAUUCAGAGAGUGAAAAGAAAGUGAAUUGAAAUAGUUUUCCACGGGUCGGAAUUGCAUCUCCUCCAUCUAAAACGCACUCUGUUUGGAAUGCAUUCCGCCAAUUUAGAUCGCUUUGCCAACUUCGGGCCGCUAUUACUGGAAACGAUGGACCCGUUUCAAGUUUCUAAGUGAAAUUACCAUCCACAGGUUUGUUAUUGUUUAAAAUUGGCCAAACUAUAGAAUAUCAUUUUGCUCAAAGAACGUUCCUCCACAAACUACAAAUUUACUUAACUUAAGAUAACAAAAGUCUUAACAGAUAGGAAAUCAAAAUUGUUCUACCAUCUAUCGUAAGAAAAGAAAAGAAAGAGGAAAUGAUAUGGAAGAAAAGAAAAAAUAAGCCAACGUUCAAAAUUAUACGAUUCUCCAGAUAUAAAGAGAUAAAAAAAAAAAAGAAAGAAAAUCCAAACUUACUCAAUAUCCUGAAAAGAAACAGAAGAAGAAAGAGUAGGAGAGGAACGGAAGGAGAAGAAAGAAUAGAAGGAAGAACGGAGGAAAGAAAAUAAAUCGAUCGACGUGUCUGGAAAUCUUUAACGCAUUUUACUUCGUUAAGUCGAGAGGUCUCCGGUUCGCAGUUGUGUGUGCCAGUGACAUGCGGGACGAGGGUGAACCGGCCGCGGUGGAUUUAGUUUGACGAGGAGCUGCGGCAGCGAUGUGCGGACGGUGCCUAACUCAAUUUCGUUAGUUUAGUUACAUUGGCGGUUGGUAACGCGAGGCCCACGCAGGGGUUGCCGUGAUUAGAUUUCCAUGUAGGUAGUGGUGCCACCCACCUAAGCCUUUAUGUGUGCCCGCUUUAUAUGUACAACCAGCCAUCUUCCCUCCCUCCCUCCCUCCCUCUCUCUUUCCUUACGCGCCACGACAAAUAUUAACUCAACCAAGCCGCCCCCCUCGUGCGAUUCGCCGAAAGUAGCGAGAAUGAAUAAGUGAAUUUUAUCGACCACCUUAUUUCCCGUGUUCCGCCUCGUUGCAACGCGGAUUUUCUUUUCCAGCAGGAGGAAUCUUGGAGAGAGGAUAGAGGGUGGUUGCGGGUAACGAGGAAACGAAGGGUUGAUAGGAAAAGGGGAUCAUCGUGGAUUGUUACGAUCGUGGGUUUUCUUCGAGGGAAAAUUGUGGAAUUGCGGUAGAUGAUCCUCUAUGUUCUCUCGAUGAUGGAACGAUGAUUAUUAUAUAUCUUUGAGAAUUAUUUAUCUAUUUGAUUCGUAAAGUUGACGUAAUAAUAUCGAGAUUCAUCGAUGAAUCUUGCUCGGAUUCGUUUCAAUGAAUCUCGGGGGCGAAAAGAUGGUCCACUUUCAUUUCCGUUAAAUGAACCACGAAAAUGAAGCAAAGCAAUGGCGAUGCUAUCGUUCGAUUAUAGCCGACAAUUCUCUAUUACUAUGUAUCUGGUGAAUCUUGUGCCGUGGUCACUCUCCAGUUAUAAAGAAGGGUAUCGCGGCCCCCGAUCUAUCGCUUGCGCCAAUUCUUAAGAAGAAUUCUUUGUCCGGUUAAUUCGAUACCGGUGUACCGUGAAUUUCCAUCCAAAUUCAACCCCCUCCCUCUCUUUAUCACGAUACGAUACCGUUGGCAAUUAAUUCGCCACGAUUCCUCUCCCGAUUAAUUCCGAUCCUCGAGAAUGGAUUCUGCAUUCUAUUUUUGCGUCUGAUCGCGAUAAUGGGAAGAGAAUCCUUUUCGAUUCGACGAGAAUUUCUAUCGAUUACGAAUUACAGAUAUGAAAAAGAAAAAUAGUGAAAGAAUAUUUUGCGACGAUUUUUCGCUCGAAAGAAAGAUACACACGGUUCGUUCGCUGCACACGCUCGUCGAUCUUUCAACGGAGAAUCGACUCCCCCUUAAACUGGGAUUAAAUACUGAUCCAUCAGCAGAUAUCACAAGCAGAUACAUUUUCUAAUAAGCGGGGUUGUGCAAUCGUCUGUGUUGUUUCCACAGCUCAGAAGAGGGUCGGAGAGAAUAUCUUUUUAUUUUCCUUUCUUUUUUUUUUCAGGGACAACGAUUAUAUUUCUUCCCGAGCGUAAUCGAUAAUAUUUAAUUAAAAUUCUGCGAUACGAAUUUAAUAAAGAGGGAUCGUGUUUCUAAAUCUUUUUUCCCUCGAAUGUACGGAGAAUUAACGAGAGGAGAAAAUGAAGGGGAGGCAAUUAACGACGAUCU